rnacentral:rRNA from 1 species
GAUGAACGCUGGCGGCGUGCUUAACACAUGCAAGUCGAACGGGAGAAGGGGAGCUUGCUCCCCUGAUCUAGUGGCGGACGGGUGAGUAACGCGUGGGCAACCUGCCCUGCAGAGGGGAAUAACACUUAGAAAUAGGUGCUAAUACCGUAUAAGCUUUAAGGUCCGCAUGGAUUUUAAAGGAAAGAUUUAUCGCUGCAGGAUGGGCCCGCGUCUGAUUAGCUAGUUGGUGUGGUAACGGCAUACCAAGGCGACGAUCAGUAACCGACCUGAGAGGGUGAUCGGCAACAUUGGGACUGAGACACGGCCCAAACUCCUACGGGAGGCAGCAGUGGGGAAUAUUGCACAAUGGGCGCAAGCCUGAUGCAGCAACGCCGCGUGAAGGAAGAAGGCUUUCGGGUCGUAAACUUCUAUCAAUGGAGAAGAAACAAAUGACGGUAUCCAAAUAAGAAGCACCGGCUAACUACGUGCCAGCAGCCGCCGCAGUAACAC